GACUCCAUAGCUAAGCGGUUAUAGCACACGAUUGCAGCUUACGUAACAUCGUGAGGUCCUGUGUUCGAUUCACAGUGGUGUCU